UGGGAUUACAAUGAGGUAUUUCAACGCUGCCCAGACUUGUCUCAAACUUCUGGGCUUAAGCCUCCCGAGUAGCUGGUAUUACCGGUGUGCACCACCAUGCCCAGUGUUGCCUGUUUCUUGACUAUCAAUAGUUUCCCUUGCAAAGUUAUCAAAGUGCUCCCCAGAAGACAUUAGGUAUUUGCUUUCUAGUCUACAUACAAUGAAAAGGAAAAAACGUCAGUUCCUGAAGCUCUCUCAAAACAUCAACAGAUGGAAAGACGUGCCCAUGUCCUCCCCUCCCUCCACUCUGGGGGCUUGGAAAUGCUGCAGCAGGGAGCAGGCCCCAGGCUGGACCUGCCCUGUCCUCACAAUGAGUGUGUGCAAAAGUGAACAAUAAAUCAUUUCAAAGAUGCAAGGAAGAAAAACCAAAACAUCAACAGAAUCUUCUUUCCCAUAAUCUUCAUGCACCUCCUGGUCCGGAUGAGUUUAUGUUCCCAUCUCUGAGCACAGGGAUUGAUUGUGAUGGCAUUUAUAGGACUGAGCGCCCCACACUCUGUGAUCCAGCAUGGAGUUAUGAUUUACAUCACCACAGGAAGAGUACAGAGGCUUCAACAGAAAAAAAAAAUUGAAGUUGAAGUAUAAGGAGAAUUUUUACAUCACCCAGGUUCUAAUUUGGAAGGUUUCUAACAGCACUCUGUCCUCUUCUGGUGCUCACUGUCAAAGAAUUUGCACCCUGCAACACUAAGUGUUUGUGCUAGAAUCCACUUCUGAUGUUGGCUGCUCUGACACAGCUUCCAUUCUUUUAUUUCUUACAGUUCUGGAGGCUGGGGAGUCCACCCCAGGUGCUGGCAUCUUGUGAGAACCCUCCUGCUGUGUCAUUCCAUGGCAGAAGGCAAAAGUGCAAGAGAAUGCCAGAGAGCAAGAAGGGGAAGAACUCAGUUUUAUAACAAACUCACUCUCAAGAUAACUAACCCGUUCCUGCUAUAGCAACAUUCAUCUAUUCAUGAGGGCAGAGCCCACAUGAUCCAAUCACAUCUUACUUGGCUCCAUCUCUCAACACUGUUCCAUUAGGAAUUAAGUAUUUAACACAUGACCUUUGGGAGACGCAUUCAAACCAUAGCAUAUGUCCUCUAUGCAGUUGCCUUGUCUAGAUGUAGGACACUGAGAAUUUACCACCCUUCCAGCAUUGACGUGCUCUCUAGGUGGCUCAAGAAUUCUUGGCUGUGUCUCCACCAGGCUUCAAGACCCUCCAUUAGCCUGGCUUUUGGACCUCUGUGGUUCCAGCCCUUGCUAGACACGGGUUUCUCUAAGAGAUCUGUAUUCUCCACAGUCUGUAUACAGAAAAGACAGUCUCAAAUCUCCUCUGAUUUAGGGCCCUGAUAAAAAUUACUUGGUCUUCUA
rnacentral:lncRNA from 1 species